rnacentral:rRNA from 1 species
UGGGGUAUAUUGCACAAUGGGCGAAAGCCUGAUGCAGCGACGCCGCGUGGGGGAUGAAGGCUUUCGGGUUGUAAACCUCUUUCGCUAUCGAACAAGGCCCGCUUAGGGUGGGUUGAGGGUAGGUGGAGAAGAAGCGCCGGCUAACUACGUGCCAGCAGCCGCGGUAAUACGUAGGGCGCGAGCGUUGUCCGGAAUUAUUGGGCGUAAAGGGCUUGUAGGCGGCUUGUUGCGCCUGCUGUGAAAACGCGGGGCUUAACUUCGCGCGUGCAGUGGGUACGGGCAGGCUUGAGUGUGGUAGGGGUGACUGGAAUUCCAGGUGUAGCGGUGGAAUGCGCAGAUAUCUGGAGGAACACAGAUGGCGAAGGCAUGUCACUGGGCCAUUACUGACGCUGAGGAGCGAAAGCAUGGGUAGCGAACAGG